AUAACAAUAAAAAGGAGUGCGGGGGAGGAAACCCCCCCGGACUUCGAACAUCAUAAUCUUUGCUCCAUAAACUAUAACAAACUUUGCUGAAUUCGGAUCAGCAAGUCGCAAUCAAUUUGAAUUUAAAAUUGCGCGCAAAAUGUUUCGUUAAAAAAUUCAACUGACACAAAUCUAACAAAUAAAAGAAGAGCUCCCUCAAUACAAAAAUUUACCAACAUUUUAUUAAUAUUUAAGUGCCAAAAAUAUGUUUACCCCACUUAAACAAGUCAAACAUCAGCUCUGACUGAAAUUGGUGCAAGUUUCGUGCCUUGGACCUUCAUUAAAUUGCAAUCAGCCAAGAAGCUGUAACCUUGCAGUUCCAUUUGGCCAAAAGCACUACUCAUCCUCAUAAUCUUAUCUUUCAUUGUUUCUUCUCUCAUUAGCAUCACACUUAAUGGGUCUGUCAACGUCAAUGGAUACUCUUCCCGUUUCGUUGGAAAAUGCCAAAGCACGUUUCAAAAUGAAGUCAUGAAAUAUAAAUUAUUCACUACCAUGAACUUGAGUGUUGGGCAGGCUGUAACUACAUUCCAUGAAUUGAUAUAUUAAAUAACCGUAGCCGAACAUUGGAACAUUAGAUCAAACGGAUUUAAUUUGAGCCGGUAGCUCAGUUGGCUCUGUUAACAUGUCGCGAAAUCGGCUCACUUAACUGUUAACAAUAAACAAAACCUUUUUUGAAUAUUCGUGCGCUUUUUGCAUACUAAAGGAGUUGGCUGGGUUCAGUGCUCGACCCAGAAUUUCUCUGCAUAUUUGGUGUAAUGUUGUUGCCCCCAAAAAAUAAUAUUCUAGAAAGUAAAAAGUGUAAUUAGCCAAACAAUGACUCUGGUUUUUGCGAAUAUUGAAGUGGUAAAACAAAACUCUUUCAAUUAAAACCCAAAGCAGCAGCAAAUACAAUUUUUCAAAACAAAUAAAAGCACUCAACUAAAUUUCCAGAAAAUUCCUGUAAAGCUUACAUUGUAAACCAGCAAAAAUCAAGGGCAAAAACUACCUUUGGCCCUGCACAAAUAAAAAAAUUAAACAUCUUUGACAUUGAACAAAACAUGCAAUAACAGUAACAAUCAACAAAGUACAACUAUUUAGACAAUAAGAGAUUUAACAUUGGGUUUGUUUUUCCCAUUAACAGCAGGCACUCAAACUGUAGUCAUGUCGCAACGCUGCUACUCAAACUGUAACAGCCGCCUUUGGGCGCUGAUUGUUGUGGUCCUUAUGAUGAAUGUGUUGCUGGUGCAUGCCGUGGACUAUGGGGAUCAUGUGGAUUCGGAUCUGCUGUACUGGCUGGGAAAGUGCCACAUACAGAGCAGCGACUACAAUGGAUGCAUGCAGCAGGCCUUGAACGUUAUGCGGGUGUACUUCCAAUCAGCCCUUUGAGCCCCAUCACUCGGACUUUGUGGAGCUGCGGCGAGGGUUCACGGCCCAGGACGUCGGCAGCUUUCAUCUCGUUUUGCGCAAUGUCUCUGACCACGGAUGGUUGAAAUCUAAAGUGACCAAAUUCGAGGAGCAUUUCGUACCUAAAAACUUUGUCUUUUCGCAAUACUUUCCACAAAAAUAUUUGGAGGGUCUGUACGAAAUCACCGCCGCGGUGCUAGGCACGGUGAUCAAGCGUCAAGGCUCCUGGAACCUCACACUCAACGAUUACAGUCAAACCACCCCAGUUACACGUGUGGGCGGGCCAGGAUCUCUUUUGAAGGUUCAUGUGGAAAUAGAAAACAUUGGAGGCUUGGAAAUUCAUGCUGGGAAUCUACUUGCGCCGUCUAUAAGCCCGAUAGCCGACACCAUCGUCAUCGGCUUGUGGGCCCUCGGUCUUCCCUUUCUCCAGCCGUUGCUCAAUGAGCUGGUGAGCACCGCCUUCACGGACAUCUUCAACGAUUCCUUUAGACACUUUCCAUUCGCGAAGUUCCUGAGUAUAUAAUAAUAA